GCCUCGGUAGCUCAGUUGGUUUAGAGCGGCUGGCUUGUAACCAGCAGGUCGGGGGUUCGACUCCCUCCCGAGGCU
rnacentral:tRNA from 1 species